rnacentral:rRNA from 1 species
AGGAUGAACGCUGGCGGCGUGCCUAAUACAUGCAAGUCGAACGAGUUCUGAUUAUUGAAAGGUGCUUGCAUCUUGAUUUAAUUUUGAACGAGUGGCGGACGGGUGAGUAACACGUGGGUAACCUGCCCUUAAGUGGGGGAUAACAUUUGGAAACAGAUGCUAAUACCGCAUAAAUCCAAAAACCGCAUGGUUCUUGGCUGAAAGAUGGCGUAAGCUAUCGCUUUUGGAUGGACCCGCGGCGUAUUAGCUAGUUGGUGAGGUAACGGCUCACCAAGGCAAUGAUACGUAGCCGAACUGAGAGGUUGAUCGGCCACAUUGGGACUGAGACACGGCCCAAACUCCUACGGGAGGCAGCAGUAGGGAAUCUUCCACAAUGGACGCAAGUCUGAUGGAGCAACGCCGCGUGAGUGAAGAAGGCUUUCGGGUCGUAAAACUCUGUUGUUGGAGAAGAAUGGUCGGCAGAGUAACUGUUGUCGGCGUGACGGUAUCCAACCAGAAAGCCACGGCUAACUACGUGCCAGCAGCCGCGGUAAUACGUAGGUGGCAAGCGUUAUCCGGAUUUAUUGGGCGUAAAGCGAGCGCAGGCGGUUUUUUAAGUCUGAUGUGAAAGCCCUCGGCUUAACCGAGGAAGUGCAUCGGAAACUGGGAAACUUGAGUGCAGAAGAGGACAGUGGAACUCCAUGUGUAGCGGUGAAAUGCGUAGAUAUAUGGAAGAACACCAGUGGCGACGGCGGCUGUCUGGUCUGUAACUGACGCUGAGGCUCGAAAGCAUGGGUAGCGAACAGGAUUAGAUACCCUGGUAGUCCAUGCCGUAAACGAUGAAUGCUAGGUGUUGGAGGGUUUCCGCCCUUCAGUGCCGCAGCUAACGCAUUAAGCAUUCCGCCUGGGGAGUACGACCGCAAGGUUGAAACUCAAAGGAAUUGACGGGGGCCCGCACAAGCGGUGGAGCAUGUGGUUUAAUUCGAAGCAACGCGAAGAACCUUACCAGGUCUUGACAUCUUUUGAUCACCUGAGAGAUCAGGUUUCCCCUUCGGGGGCAAAAUGACAGGUGGUGCAUGGUUGUCGUCAGCUCGUGUCGUGAGAUGUUGGGUUAAGUCCCGCAACGAGCGCAACCCUUAUGACUAGUUGCCAGCAUUUAGUUGGGCACUCUAGUAAGACUGCCGGUGACAAACCGGAGGAAGGUGGGGAUGACGUCAAAUCAUCAUGCCCCUUAUGACCUGGGCUACACACGUGCUACAAUGGAUGGUACAACGAGUUGCGAGACCGCGAGGUCAAGCUAAUCUCUUAAAGCCAUUCUCAGUUCGGACUGUAGGCUGCAACUCGCCUACACGAAGUCGGAAUCGCUAGUAAUC